CCAAGCAACAUUAAACCUAAUACAAGUUUCUGUGUAUUCAUUUGGGCCUAACUCGGGCAGGUGGCUGGCGUAAAACACACAUGUGGCGGUGGGGCUCAGAUAGCUUUUGGCAGAAAGAUUUAUCGAGACAUGGGGCUGCAAGAGGAAGGACCAAGGAGAGAGAGGGAAUCCACAGGAGAGAUACCAUGUAGGACAUGCCAGACGUUCUCUGGUAAGAUAAGGCCAUGUAGAAAUUCAUAGAUUAGUAGUUAUAGGUUAAUAAUUAAGAGAGAGCUAUCUAGUAAUAAGCCCUAGCCAUCAGCCAACAGUUUAUAAAUUAAUAUAAGUAUUUGUGUGUUUAUUUGGGGCUAAUUGACUGUGUGACCAGGCAAACAGAAACUUCCAUCUAGAGUUUGUAUGUAUGUUUUCAGGGCUGACCAUUUGGCACUGGACCAACAAUUGGUGUGCUUUAUUCUGGAGAGAACCACCUCUCCCAGUCCUCAGCUUUAUUCAGUUGCCUGUAGUUCUUUGUGUAGCACUGGGGCCUUGUAGGCUUUUGCCUAUGCAGUUUGACAUAUUCUUUGGUGUUCUCCUUGUUUUCAUUUAGGCAGUCAUGAUGGCGAGACUUUACAGGUAUAGCUUCCAAUGUUACUAGGAGACACAAAUUCACAGCAAAGAUGUAUCCAUUGAGAUUGGGUUCUACAACUCUGCAUAUUGAUUGGUUGUGGUUUUCUAUAAUGAUCUCUGUUGCAAAGAAAGGUUUCCUUGAUGAGGGGUGAAGAGUACAUUUAUCUAUGGGUAUAAGGGCAGUCAUUUAUAGAUUUUUGUUAGGGAUUAUGCUGGUUUAGUAAUUAGUGGUUGUAGAUUAUCCUUCGUAAGCCAUCAUCUCAGUAGCACUUAGUAGUUAGCUAGAUUUACCAAUUCUGAUACUAAGCAAAUGUAUCCGUCUUGCUGAGUGGGUCUUAAGUCCAAUUAGCAAGUGGUUGUUUGUCACCAAGGUAUACAUGUCACUACUGCACCAAUAGGAUUAUUGUACCAUGCCAGUCAUUAAUGUGGUUCAUAGGCAUUGUAGCUGGGUUGGACUGUUGGUUGCUUUCCUUCUUUGGAAGCUUGUAUAGCACCUUGUGGUACAAUGAAAGCCAGUGCUCAUGGAGGGAGCAUUCAGGUCACUUCCAGUUCAGGGACCUUUAGGCCCUGUUUCUGAAGUAUUUGGUGCCCUCAGCAACAGGAACUUAUCUGACACCUCUGACCCUUGUCUAUUUUCAUAGUCCCUGGGUUCUACUAUUCCUUAUCCCUUAAUACAAGGAAAAAUAUAUUCAAUAUUUUUAUUUGUACUCUAGGCAGCUUAGUACUGAAUUUUUUAUGAAUGGUUGAUAACUGUGACAAAAUAAGUAAGGAUAAAACACUACUUUAAGAUUCAAUUCUUUGAUCUUACAAUGAAAAACAAGUAUUCUUCACAGUCUAUUGUUGUACAUCCAUUAAAUUUGUGGCAAAUCCAUUUGCCUUAAAGGGAAACCUAAAUGGUCUAAGACAAAGAACGCAACAAAAGAGUCUUUAAAUCAUGCAAUAGUAUACUAGGCUAAAAACAAGUUGUUUUUUAAAUUUGCAAGAUUAAAGCACUUAAGAUAUGAAUAUAUUUGUUAUCAUCUUCAAAGUAUCUUAUACUGAAAGAUGAUAUCACAACCUGGAGGUCUUGAAUAGAGGCAGCAAACUGUGUUAUGUGCCGACUACUGAAUAUUUUAAGAGAUUCUACAACAUGAGUACAAUCUAUAACUCAUCACUAUAGCUCAAAAAGAGCCAUUAACAAUUAAUAAGCACAAAUGAAUGAAUAUGGCUAUGUUCCAGUAAAACCUUACAAAACAAAGGAAUGGGUCAGAUUUACCCACAAAAUGUUGUUUGCCCAACCCCUGGUCUAAAGGGUGAACUAUAAAUAUUGAUCACAGAAUAAGGGACAUAUAGAAUGUAAAAGCAGUUUUCUAACCCAGAGGAUAUUAAAAUAUUUCCCUAAGAAGCUAGAGAGAUGGCUCAAUACUUAAGAGUCCAGGUCCAGCACACAACUGUAGCUCCAGUUCCAAAGAAAUUUAACACCCUCUUGUGGCCUCUGCAGGCACCUGACCAUAAGAGGUGUGUAUACACACAUACACACACAUGCGCGUGCGCACACACACACACACACACACACACAUGUGUAAAAUGUUUUUUUUUUAAUUUCUUCCCUAAAGCAAGUUAUAACAGUAAAGAAAAACAAGAAAUAUAUUCUAAAAAUAAUUGGGUUGUUUCACUGUUACAACAAGAAAAGGUAAGCGUCCUUAAAGAUGUUUCUCUUCCCUCAAACUAAGAAGUCAGAGAAAAGAAUAAGUUGUCUCUUGGAACCUUACAGAGAAUGAAGUGCUGGAAUCCAGGACUAAUGAGCUCUAGCAGAGUACAAAUCAAAUGGCUUCAGUAAGAGCUAUUUUGCAGUUUGUUGACAAUGGCUGUGUAGAUGCCUAAGAACCAUAGCUGAGGCUGAUGGGUUGUGGUGUGGAGUGUCCAGCAACAUGGGCUUCUUUUUACCACUAAAACAUAUUGUGUGGGUGCAAACACCACAUAUAACUAGUUCUUAUCUGUUUAAAGCAAUAGUUCCAGACAAUAACAAUCACUGUGGAGAAAGGAAUUAAGACUCAAAGAGACAGAUGGCCCUCAUGCUCUGUGAGGGACAGACACCCUUCCUCACUGUCAGCUCCUCACAAUUACUCCUUAUGCAUGUGGGGCCUUACAGAACAGAAGAAAUAGUUCUGGAGAAUGUAUGAAUAUGGAAUGGUUUCAAUAAAAAAAAUCAUGAGCUAAAAGAAUAAGGAAAAGAAAACUUUCUAAACUACAAAAUAUUUAUGGAUCAUAUGUUUCAGAGUCCCUGAAACAAAGUUGUCUUUAAUGACAUAGAAACUAAAACUAGCACAUAUUUCACUUUUAACCAAUUAAUUCAUGAUAAAUUUUGAGCCAUGUUGCUCAAAUUCAUUCUCUCUGUCUCUCUGUCUCUGUCUGUCUUUUCCUGUGUUCUUCCCAAAUCUACUGCAACAUUAGAAUGUCAGCAAAGAGUUAAUUCGCAUUACUUCACACCUGAGCAUGGCUUUAUUCUCCUAGUUACAGGUUUUACUCAUAUAUGAAGUGGACAGUAACAUGUCUGUCCUUUUCAUAAAUGCACAAUUGAAACAUAAUUGUCCAAGAACAAAGACUCAGUAACAGUGCCAGGAUCCAGUUAACAGGUUGCCACUAGAGAAGUGUGCACUCCCCUGUAGACACAAAGAUCUCUCCUUUCUUCCUAUUUCUCAAGUCUCUAGUACACAAGGCUCUAUAACAACCAUCAUGGGAUGGGGGUGCCCUUCUGAAUGCUGUGAAUAUAUGUUUCUCUUAUUGGUUGAUGAAUAAAGCUGUUUCGGCCAAUGGACAGGCAGGAUGUAGCCAGGCAGGAAGUAUAGGCAGGGCUAUCAGAGUAGAAGAAUUCUGAGAAGAAGAAGGCAGAGAGUGAGUUGUGGGAGAGAUGCCAUGUAUCUGCCAAAGAAGCAAGAGCCUAGGCAUCACCAGUAAGCCAAGACUGCAUGGAGAUGCACAGAUUAAUAGAAAUGGGAUAAUAAUUGAUAGAGAGGUAGCCAAUAAGAAGCCUGAGCUGUCGCCAAACAGUUUAUAAUUAAUAUCAGCCUCUGUGUGUUUAUUUGGGACUAAAUGGCUAAAGGACCAAGCAGGACAGAAACUUCUGUCCACAUCAUUCCUUAGACAGGUCCCUGGAUGGAGAUAUGUAUAACAAUUAAUUCCCAGGACCUGCCAUGAAUUUCUUAUUAUAACCCCUCAACUAGAACUACAGCGCAGGUAAAAUUAUGCAUAUAAAUUCUAUUAGCUUUCAAGGUGAAUAAAUCCCAAAUCUAACAACAACCCCAAAUUUCCAUAAUUCUUCCUACAAACAGAAGCAACUAAGUGGAAUGUGAUUUAUAGCACAAGGCCAGGACAGAGCAUAGAAGAAAGUUUUGCUUAUAUCUUCCCCUACUUUAAGCAAAAAGGAAGCCUGUGGGCACAUAGCAAAGGGGACAACCUUGUCUUGACUGCAGGUUCAGAACCAUCCCCGCUUCUCAGUUCAUGAGAAAUAAGGAACAAAAUGCAAUCAGACCUGAUCUUGCCACUCAUGUCAGUUUGAUGUGACUCAUUCUGUACCUCAGGCCUUCAUGGUACCCGAAAAUCCCAUUAUGGCCCCAGCCAUGUUCUUGGCCAACACCCUGUCACUGUUAACUUCCAGGAGCAUUUUACAGGUUAAUCCACUGGAGACCUUCUGUCUGGCUGUCCUCUGUCUGUAGAGCUGAACUGGGAAAAGAAAGGGAAGCAAGGCUGGGUGCUGAUUGCACAGCAAGUCCAUGCAAUCUUCAUUUUGAAGAAAGAAUUACAGGAAGCUUGAAAAACAGGAAGGGGAUAUUGCUGGAUGACUUUCUAUCCUGAAUAUCAAGUUGUCCUUGAUUAACAAAGUAUUUCUUUUACCAGAGGGACAUGGUAAAUGUUAUUCUAUAUUACCUAAAGAACAAAGUAGUAAAUGAGUAUAAUGGCUCGGCAUAAAUAUUCAUGAAAUCAGGUAAUUACAAGUAUAACCACUGCUUUUUGAUUGUUUAGAACUGGACUGAUUACCAUAUGAAAACCAUUCAUUCCGAAGGAAAAUUCUUUCUCCUUAAGCAUUCAUACCGGGCACCACUUCUCUGGCAAGAGGUGCUGUGAUCCCUAAUUUAAAAUGCAAUACCAUCAAUUUGGGCAGGGCAAAAGGUGGAAAUGUCAUUUCCAAAGUAGUUUGCUAAGGUCACAGGCAGUGAUCUAGAAAGUGCAAAGGCUGUUAAAAAAAAAAAAAAAAAAGGAUGAAAAGAAUGUACUAAUGUACAUGCACCCAUAAGACCCGCCACUGCAACACAUUCUUCAAGAAAAUGACCCUUGUUUUUAACUCUAAGCACUAAAUGUUGCUACAACUGUAGUUACAAAGUGUCAGUAAUUGCACCAGCUUUUGGGAUUUGUAUCUAUUUCUAGUCUGGGCUAAAUUUAAAAACAUUUUAUAGAAUAAAAAGAAAAGUGUUGAUUCCUUAGAACUACUAUGUCACUCUGGUGUUCAGCAGUAGACAGACAGAAAUGUAUAGUUUCUUGAUGCAAUAAACUGUACCUUAGUGUCUAACACUGGUGGGCAUUCAUGACACACAGUAUGGAAUUUCCUCUGCAUAAUUCAAGCAAAAGAAACAGUUUCUUUCAAACACUUCAAAACAGAUUUUUUUUUCUUGAAGAGUUUAAGUGCUGAACAAGGAAGGAAAUUACUUCAAAAUGUAUGCAAGUGCUAAAAAGACUAAUAUACUCAUUAAUUGAUAUGUUUGUGUCUCAAUUUAUGGCCUCCCUGUGAAGAGCUUUCACUUCAUCUCACUGGAGAACUUUUUCCCCUAAGACUUAUUUCAAAUUCCAUAUUUAAAGAAGAAUCAGCAUAGGCCUUCCUUUGUAGCUCUUCAAAAACAAAUGCAAAACGUCAAGCAAGCAAGAAUAUAGACUAAAUCAUAACUUCAUAAGAGAAAAAUCAGUACGAAAACAAUAUUGUUUAUAGUUUGCUGGUACAUAGUCUUUCUAAAGAAAUACCUAUGUAGGGAGAGACCUCUACACUCCUGUGGCACUGACCAUGCCUACUUGGGCGUGGCCACAGGUGCCUAAGGGGCCUAUGUGAUAAAGAUUGGAGGAAAGGGGCACUUCACUCUCUCACUGGGUUCCAGUCAGGUCUUGGAGAGCUACUGAGACUAACCUGGGUCAUCAGUUCCUCAUGUAAGUGAUUUCCCCUUAAUAAAUUACCCAUCUAUAUCCAUAUUCCACGUACGGUUGUUUUCCUCUACACACCUAUGAAGAAAUAGUAAUCUGAAAUUCCAAUGUAUUUCUUAAAAGAUCAUCAGGGUUUUUAUCAGUUACAUAGGUACUUAUAGAAAUAUGAAGCUUACCAAGUUCACAAAUAAUAAAAGGAGAAUUACUUCUUCCUGAGGCAAUUCUUUUACUUACUCCCUUUCAAGUCAAGAAUUCUGGGCAAUUUCAUCAACUUUUUUAAAAUAAUGUCUUUUAAUUGGCCUUGAAUCUGACAGACCACUACUAAAAUGUGCAAUGCCAUUCUGCUGCUGUUUCUGUCCAGGCAUUUUAUAGCCACCAUAACUCGUGCAGUGUGGAAAGUGCUUACUCUGCCAUUUCUAAGCAUAUGUUUCCCGAAUUUACAUCAUCUUUUAAGUCCGGAGAUUUGGGAGUUCAGGGAGUCUGUUAACAUUAUGCAUUCCAUUUCAACACUGAAAAUGUCAUCAAAAUUUCUGAAAUCUCUGUAGCCUCAUCUUAUCUACGGGUCAGGGAUAUGUCACCUGUUGAAAAAAAUCAAUAUAGAAGUGUGUGAGUCAUUACGAAUUUACAAUAAGCAUCUCAAAAAUAACUCCACACAUUGCUCUUUUAGAGAGUCUUUGUAUGGGCUGAUUAAUAAAUUUUAAGUUUGAUGUCUCAAUGAUUUUCUGUCAGCUAUUAUGUAUGCUUUGGUUAUGAUGUUCAAAACCACAUUCAUCUACAGAAUUCUUUGAAGACAGUGACCUAGCUCACUGGAAAGGCACACAAAUGCAUUUACAUAAAUUCAUUGCAGUCUCUACCUGGGACUUACCCUGCCCUUGAGUUACUGCGAGAGAAUCCCAAACAAAAAUGUUACAAUACUCUAUAGGCUCUUUCUGUCCCUGCCAAUCCCUUGAUAUGCAAUGUAUUCCAUGCAGUGUAUAAAAAUAAUUAAGGUGUGACUGUGCUAUUUUAAAAAUAAAAUGAGAAACACAUUCUAAGGAAAACGAUAAAUAAAUUAAGCAACUAAUUAAAAGCAAUGGAGUAAGUUCAGCAAUACAAUACUGUGCAAAAAACACCGUUAUUAUAGAAGAUGGUAUAUAAAAUUUACCAAGAAGAGAGUAGGAACUAUGAGCAGACUGUGGGACCAAUCAUUGCAGAUUUGACAGAAAGGUUAAUGAAGAGAACUAAGACAGAAUAAGGCUGUUCUCGUGCCCAGGCUACCAACAAGACAAAUACGGAAUGCAUAUGCAAGUCCUCCAACAGUCUUAAGGCUGGGACAUACGUUAUGAUUCAGUGACUAUAGCUGAAGACUAUAGGAAAAGGAAAUCAAAGACAGAUGACCGUGUCCAGUAGCUUCAAAUGCAAUGAAAUCCAAAGAGAAAAGCAUCAGUAGAUACUGUGUAUGUAUAGAGAACCUACUCUGUAUCAGGGCCCUGAGUCAGCUUUGUUACCUGCAUUAUCUGAUUUUUAUCCUUCCUAUCUCCUUUCAUUCCCAUUUCAGAGAUAAGAAAAUUGAUUCUCCAAAUGAUUAAACAACUUUCCUGAAGUCCCAAAGUCAGUACAAUCACUGCCUCUGAUCCACAGCACCACUUCUGCCAUUUGCAAUGUGAGUUCGUUAGAACUAACACAAACCAAGUGACAAUAUCCUGUCUCACAGCAGUGUUUCGGACCAGCUGAAUGAGCCUCAUCUGAAAACUUUAAUUCCCAUCCCUAAAAACCAAUAUAAAUUACAGAGGUGAGGGCCCCCUUGUAUGUCUGUGAACAAACCCACAUGAUUUUAAAAACACUAAACUAGGAACUAUACUGCUUUAGUAAAGUGGCAGUUGUGGGUUCUCCUCAGAGUCAUGGCUUCACUAGCUCUGGGAAGCUGCCAAGGGUUCUAGUACCAGGCAGCUUUGGUAUCACUCUUGUGGAGGAGGCCUUAAACCCAAUGAGAGAGCUUCUGCUUACUACCAAAGUAUGCAUGACACUAUGGUACCACACUGGGCAUUGUUUUAGUUCACCUCCCUUGGAAGCUUGCAUGCUACCUCGUGGUACCAUGAGAGUUAGUCCUCAAGGAAGACAAUUUCAUGUCAGAAGAAGGCCGAGAUCUUCCAGGUCCUAAGUCUGAAGCACAUGGUGUCCUUCAGCAAUAGGGACUUACCCUCACUGUCUAGGGGGCAACCAAGGGCAACAGCAAUAGCCUAUGUUUGGGGAAACUCUUGCAUAAUUCUGAUCAAAAACCCAAAAAUCAUUGGGACUUUUGUUAUAUAAUCUAUGGCCCUUAUAGUACUGUCAGCCAAGAUGGGAAAUUGGAUUUAAACUAUAUAUGUAUACAGAGAGAGAGAGAGAAUUUAGAUAGCUAAUAGUUUCACCCUUCUUCCUUCUUCCUUUACCUCCCUCCUCCCUCUCUAAUUAAACCUCAGCCAUGUUUUGCUCUUUUAGAUAACUUGUAGCUAUUCCCCCCGCUAUUCCCCUCUCUAUUACUCCCCAUUUCCCAUGCUCCCUUCUUAUUAUCCUGAUCUCCUCAGUUUCUCCAGGUUAUAUAUGAGCAUCUGAAGAUUUGGAGAUAGGAACAGUGUCUUAGUUAAGUUUCUAUCGAUGUGAAGAAUGCACACAGCUCGAGAAGGUGGUCUACAGAGAACUCCCGCCAGGACUAGCUAAUCUCUUCCCCUAUGCUGUGAACAACAAAGAGCCUGAGGUUCUAGGCUGAAAGACAGUAGGUGUGGCUCCAUCAGAGUGCACACAGCCCACCUGUGAUCCAAGCUCUUUUGUGUCCAUGUGGCUGUCAUUUCUUUAGUGUCACUGUCUUUUCUUUACUCCCUCACUGCCCCUAGUUAGGAUUCAAGAACCAAGUUGUACAGGUUGUGGUAGACAUGUGUGUGGUGUGUUAUCUUAAGUUUAUUGAUGUAGGAAAACCCACCACUGUGAGAGGGACCAUUCCCUAGGCGAGAGUUUCAACUACAUAAUAGUAGAGAAACCGAGCUGAACACAGCAAUCAAGUGGGUGUGUACGCAUUUGUUCCUUUCCACUCCUGACUGUGGAAAGAUGUGACUGGCUGUUUGUGAUUUCUGCCUUGACUGUCACACAAUAACAAACUGUAACCUGGAAUUAUAUAAUGGAAUAAACCUCCUCCCUAAGA